GGAGAAUUACCCAAGUGGCUGAAGGGGGCGGUCUUGAAAACCGCUAGGUGAGUAAAAUCACGCGUGGGUUCGAAUCCCACAUUCUCCU
rnacentral:tRNA from 1 species